rnacentral:rRNA from 1 species
UACGUAGGGGGCUAGCGUUGUCCGGAAUCAUUGGGCGUAAAGCGCGUGUAGGCGGUCCGGUAAGUCCGCUGUGAAAGUCGAGGGCUCAACCCUCGAAUGCCGGUGGAUACUGUCGGGCUUGAGUACGGGAGAGGCGAGUGGAAUUCCUGGUGCAGCGGUGAAAUGCGCAGAUAUCAGGAGGAACACCGGUGGCGAAGGCGGGUCUCUGGGCCGAUACUGACGCUGAGGAGCGAAAGCGUGGGGAGCGAACAGG